CCACAUUUAUUGGUGGUCUGGGACAUGAUGACAGCAGUGACCAAUGAAGCCAGGACAUCUGACAACUAAACAAAGUGUUAGAACAAUGUCACCGAGUUAGUCACUGUAAGUGACUUUAUUUAGCACAAUACGUUUAUCAGUAUUUUCAUUCCAAAGCUGUUUUUAGACUAGUUCUGUAGUGGUUUGAACUAGAGACAGCUGAGGCCAACGUUAGCUUGUGUGUUUUCUGCGGUAUGUUUUGCUAAAGGUAACAUUUAACGUUAGCCUGGUAACGUUAGCUAGUGUUAAUUUUGAUAGGUAGAUAUAUCUUUUUCUUACCAGAAAUGAGACUGUAUGUUCUGUUCAGAAGCGUACAGUCACACCUUGCUACGCGUUUGUUUCUUACAACGGCACCACUGUAUCUUCGUCAACGACUAUAAUGUAACUAGUAGGCAGAGAGCAGCCAAAAAG